UACAGAGGAGGCAAGCGUUGUUCGGAAUUACUGGGCGUAAAGGGCGCGUAGGCGGCCACUGCAAGUCGGUUGUGAAAUCUCCGGGCUUAACCCGGAAAGGUCAAUCGAUACUGCAGGGCUAGAGUGCAGAAGGGGCAACUGGAAUUCUCGGUGUAGCGGUGAAAUGCGUAGAUAUCGAGAGGAACACCUGCGGCGAAGGCGGGUUGCUGGGCUGACACUGACGCUGAAGCGCGAAAGCUAGGGGAGCGAACGGG
rnacentral:rRNA from 1 species